rnacentral:rRNA from 1 species
GACGUAGGGCGCAAGCGUUGUCCGGAUUUAUUGGGCGUAAAGAGCUCGUAGGCGGUGUGUCGCGUCGGCCGUGAAAACCUGCAGCUUAACUGUGGGCUUGCGGUCGAUACGGGCAUCACUGGAGUUCGGCAGGGGAGACUGGAAUUCCUGGUGUAGCGGUGAAAUGCGCAGGAUAAUCAGGAGGAACCACCGAUGGCGAAGGGCAGGGAUCUC